CGCCUUGUCGUCUAAGAUGAGAGGAUGCCGGUCUUUCAAGCCGGCGAUGCGGGUGCGAAUCCCGUCGAGGCGACCA
rnacentral:tRNA from 1 species